CUUAUCUCUGUCAUAAAUGUUCUCUUUUUGCAUAUCUUCGUUUGUUCAUUUUCCUUGUUUCAAUAUUCUAUUGUUAUCUCCAUUUCUCUCUCGAAAUCUAAUAUGUCUUCAAUUGCAUUGUUCUUCAUUUUCUCGCACAUCGCUUUUCGCUCCAUCAUCGAUUGAACGGCGCGACAUUUCUCCAGAUCUAUUUGUUUUUGGUUUUUUCAUAUUGUCGUCACAAUAUUUAUCUCUCUUAUCAGAUUUCCUAUAUUUUUGCUAGGGAUUUGGGUUAUCUUCAUCACAUUUAAGGGUUUUGUAAAGUCCCUAUUCCUUUUUUUUUUCCUAUAUCGAUUUUUUGGAUUUAUUUUAUGCAAUUCAUGUUCUAUGUUGAUUUCCUUCGGGAUUUUUUGUGUGUUUAUAUACGUUUUCAAAAGGAUUUUUUUUCCUGUUUGACUUGUUAUCUUUUCUUAGUUUCUUGUUUGUUAGUUUUAGUCUCACUAGAGAUUUUUUUUUUUUUUUUUUUUUUUAAACUUCUCUAGGUCAAAUUUCUAUCCAUUUUACUUGUGUUUCUCACUUUGUUUACCAUCUUUAUUUGUCCUAUUGUAUUGAUUAAAAGGUGAGAAAUUCUUUUAGCCUAUGUGGUUCUUUCAUUUUUCAUGAUUCUUUGGAGUUUUAUUGCGUUUAUGUUUGCUGUGAGAUGUGGCACUGAACAAGCUCAUCUCGUGAUCUUAGAUGGAACAAUAGCCAGUGUACUUUUUUUUAUAUGGGGUUUUGAACUUGUGUUAUUUUUCAUUCGUUUGGGUUCAAAGGUGCUUGAGAUGUAUCUUUGACGAUGAUGAAACUGAUAUAUUUAUUUGGUAAGACCUGCUCGUUUCGAGUUGUCAUCUAAUUUGCCAAAAAUGCUAAUGCUUUUGAAAGAACUUGACAUGUAAAAAUAUGAUUUUUUGUGUGUACAACAGUUUUGAAAUUUUUAGUGUCAUCUAAUCUGAGCCUAUAAUUCGUUCUUUGAUCGAACAUGCUAUUUCCGGAGUGGUUUUUUUAAAAACAACUUUUAAGCAAAACCAAAUACACUCUUAAUAUUAUUAUGGUUAUGGAAAUGCUGGCAAUGUACCUUUUUAAUUUGCUUGUUUUCCUUUCAAGUUUCUCCUUUUUGUCAAUUUUUUUCUGAAUUUCUUAAUGUACAUAUGUCAAAUGCUUACGGUAAAGCAUUGUAGAUUUUUUUCAUAUUUUCUUAAUGUUCCCCUUAAUCUUAUUGGUAAUUUAUAAAUAAUGAUCAUGUCCUAAUCUCAAAUUGUUUAUUUGGGCAUUAAGGCUUGUAGAAUUUUGUUGCAUUUUUCUCUGCUUCUUAUUUGAAGGUACCUGUUUUUAUGUGAAUACUAUUCUAGCUGGUUGAUGAAUAUCUUGCCAAUGUUUGUUCAGGUGUCCCUACUUAAGUCAUCAACUGUAACAGCUUCAACUUCGAGUUCUGCUGCCAAAAUAUCUUUAUCUCUGGUUCCAACUUCAAAUAGUGGGUAUGUAUGCCUCUUGAUAUAUAAAUUUUCUUCUAUCUUUUUGUUCAGUAUAUAUAAAGAUAAUUUGAUUCCCAUUCUUUGAAAAAAAUUUAUUUUUAAAUAUUAUUUUAACAUCAUUUCAACCACACAUUUUUUAAUAAAAUAGUAUUACACGUAAAUUCAAAUCUCUUCCUCAUUUUUUAACCACACACUUCCCAUCAAUACACUAUUCAAAAAUUCAUUCCAAUUAAAAGAAUGGGGCACAAAGGCAAAAUUUCAAAGUUUAGAUUAUAGUGAUAGAUGAAACUUAUUGCUUGUUCUGGUACUUUAGUUCUUACCGAUAUUACUCAACUGGUUUUCAACGACAGUAAAUUUUGAGCUUCAUCUGAGUUAUGGAGAACAAUCCCGCUACACGUACACGCCACUUUACCUGCCAGGUUACACAGUGACGUGGCGAAAGAAAACGUAUUAAUGGGUUAAUGGGUAACAUGUCUUGAACCGGCCCAAAGUGAAGAAACCCGCUUAUGCUCACAUUUCUUCAGUUUCUCAGUUGCCCCAAGGCAGAAAACCCUCUCUACCGAACGAACUGAUGCGAGGAGAUCUGCAGCUGCGCUCCACCUUAUUGAGAAGACGAUGAUAAAUAUUGUGGUCAUCUCCAUGAUUUUGUUUUCCACCAGAAGUUAAGCGCACGGUUGUGAGGAAAAAAUAUUUAGCCGCAAGAUUAGGGCAAAAUCGCCCGUCCCUGAGGCCUUCUUCUCCGGCGAUAUCUUGAGCAAUAUUAUGUAAGUAGAAAAUUUGGGCAUUUCUUUUUACUGUGGGGAAGUAAUUUAUGUUUUAAGAAAAGGAAAAAUCUCACUGUCAGCCCUACUUCUUCGAAGAACCCGACGUACUGGGCUGCAUAGUUUCUUGCUCCAUUUCAAAUACAAACAAGGUUCGAAUAUAUGAUAAUCUAGGCUAGUUUUGAACAUAUGGCAGUCUGGGCUGCAAAGUUUCGAACUUCAUUAGUAUGCCUUUCAAUCUCGAGUCAUUCCAUUGUUUGGAGAUGGUGAAUGUACGUAAUUUGUGUGAAUAAUAAUCAAUAGGAAUAAAAUCUACUUGUAAACUGUUAGAAAUAUUUAUUUUAGGCAUAAUCUCAGACAGUGUGUAUUUGAUAGGCAUAAUCUCAGACAAUGUGUAUAAUGUUGAAGCCCUUUUGUUUUCUUCUGGUGGCAUGUAAAGAGUGGGUUGAAUGUGUAAGUUUGUUACUGUUAUUAUUGAUAUGGUUCUUGACAUUCAUGUUUGGUUUGAAAUUCGGUUUUUGUGAAUAUCUUGAUUCCACUGAGCAAGGGGAUUUUGUUAAAAAUGUUGUUUAAUGUAGUGUAAUCUGUGUGUCGUUUGUGUGUAGUAUGCCGGGAAAGAACUUCGGACUUUGUCAUAGCUGUAGAGGGAAGGGUCACUUGUUUGCGGAUUGCCCAAACAAAAGGCGAUGCCCCUUGUGUAAAUGUGGAAUUGUGAAGUGCUUUGAGGUCGAGAGGGAGACAAAGAACAAGGGAAGAUUGUUCGAGUGCUGCAGAGCUAAUUGUAAAUAUUGGGCAUGGGUCGAUGAGGGAGAAUCAAGUAGUGGGUCAAGUAAUGUUACUGCGAACUCGAAUAAUCAUGCAGCACUUGACGAUGUUCAGCAGUUCUCUCGCAUGUUCCAGUCUCUUUGUCACGUGGUGUCUAAGGAACGAAACAUUGAGAUUUCUUUAAAUGUGACAAUAAGGAGUGGCAACGAAAGUGCGGAAGUGGAUGUGAAAGGGAAGGGGCCAGCAUGAUUUGUGGGUAGCUGAAUAAGUGAUUAGUGUAGUUGAUGUAUUUUGUUAAUAUUGGUGUUUGCACUAAGGUGUUGGCCAGAAAAUUAUUCCUCGCAAAUGGUCAUGUUGUUGUCUUCGUGUUAUGAAUUUUGCGUUGAAGUUAUUUUUAUGCAAAGCUAUUGUGUGUGAAAUAUUAUUUUUGGUUACCGUACGUAGAGCUAUG
rnacentral:lncRNA from 1 species